GGGGUUCUCUGGUGGAGAGGGGAUUAUCACUACGAUACUUGUCCUAUCUCCAUUAGGGGCCACCAUGACUAGGUCCCUGGAAUAGAGGGGUUUCCCUAAUCUUGGAGCUGAAGACCUAGGGACCUAAGGCAGGUGCUCAAUGAGGGAAGAAUUAGGGAACAUGUGAGGAAGGUGCGGCAGUCCUCACAUCACAUGAUCUGCUGGCUGCAACAGCCGAUUAUCUGAACACAGAGAUGAACUCACUGUUGCCCUCAUGUCUAGAGGCCAGGGUGGUACAGAUGCCUCAGAGCCACCUGUAUCUCUGGGUGGAUGACAGUUGUCUACCUGUCCUCCUGUGGAUGACAUUUGCAUGUUGGUGGUUAGGGCAUUACAAAGAGGGCUGCUGUGAACAUUACUGUACACGUGUGCUCUGAAACUCACCUUCAAUUUCCCUGGUGCACAUCAGGAAUGGAAAGACUGGCCAUAUGGAGGCAUGUGUUGACAUGUUUAGGAAUCACUGACUGUUGUCCUGAGUGACUUCGUGUCCACUCAGUCUCUGCUUUUUCUCCUGCUCCCUAACUUGGUCCUAAUGGCAUCCCAUCUCAUUCAUACCUCAGGCCCAUACUUCACCAACUUCUCCAUGUGUGCUCAUGGAUCCAUUUCCAUGAAGUUGCUCUGACACCCUGUUGUCAGUUGCCCUAUGACUCUUGGUGUCACCCUUACUUGUGGUGUGUCACAUUUCCCUCUUAAUAGACACCCUGUAAAGGCUGGGCACUGACAGAAGAGAAUGUUCAGGAUUCACAUUGAGAACCCAGGAUGACUCCUAAUAUGGAGACAUGUCGGUGGGGUGAUCUUCUCAGGGAAAUAGAGCCAAUCCUGAUGUAUAGAAAGCAGGAUGGCAGUAUCCUGUCACCUAGCUCCCUUUGAGGCAGAGCCUAUCCCAACACUAUCCUGCCAGGACCCCAGAGCAGCUGCCAGCACCAUCUGCCAUCCCAGGUUCUGUGUCUGCUAUGGAGCUGAUCUAACUCUACCCUCCAGCCAGGUGAGGCCUUCCUGUGAGCACUACAUGUUUUCCUCUUCCCUCUUGAUCCAGAGCUCUUGGCUGAGGAGUGCUUAACUGGUGUUGUUGACGUGAAAAGAAGAGGUUAAGAAGGAUCAGAGAUGACUCAAGGCUGGAUGUGUUAGUGGACUGGGAGUUGGGUGGGGCUGUUGCAGGGUAGUGUUCCCUCUGGAGUCCAGAGUACAGUCUGCACAGGACCAGGAGUUGCCAGGGAGAAGACAGGUCUUGGAACCCGGCAGAGGUGCCUCUGUAUGUAAUGUUCUGUGUUGGUUUUCUGGGUAAGUAGCCUGAAAUCCAGGCCUCCUGUGAUGCCUUCUGGGGAGGCAGGAUGCUGCUUGAACUUUCAGGGGCACCUGGGCAGGAAAGUACCAGGGGAGCCAGGCCAGCCACUCAAUGAGGAGCAUGUGCAGAUUGUCAACACAAGUUAUGGAGCUUAAUUUUUAAUAAGAAAACAGAGGUCUUCCGAAUUUCCUGAGGGUUUCUGCUGAGAGGUAUCAAGGGCGUUUUAGCCCCCCUGACAUGCUUCAGUAGUGUGGUUGGCAGCUCCCUGUAUUAGAGGGAGAAUUUGAGAAAUGUUGAGGAUUUGAAGGUGAGUCUAUUCAGCUCAGCAGCCGCUGAACAGAAUUGAGCUCCCUGUGAGUUCUGUGUAGUGAAAUCUUCCCUAGAGAGGGGAGUGUUUUACUGCUGGCCCCUUUCCCACCACCUUUGCACAAGGUCACACUCCUGCACCCUGUUAGCCUUUGGAGUGAGGUAUAGGCUACACUCUGACAUUCCUGUGUCCAAGGGGCACCUCUCUUGAGACUGACAGGGAAAAUCUGGCUGAGGAAGGCUAAGGGAGUGUAGACAAGGGUGAAUUACCCAUCAAAUUUUAAUUCAUUGUGUUUGAGAAGAGGUUUGUGGCCCCUACCCUGUUCUACCCUCACUCCCUGGGUCAGGUGGGCUCAUUGGACACAGGUGAGACACCGUAACCAGGUGGAGCAUCCUCUUCUGUGCCUUCCUGAGGCACCUUUCUUGCUGAGAUUAAAAAGGACACCUUUGCCUUUCCAAACUGAAUGGCUAGGAGGGCAGUUGGAGGAGGUAUGAGAGGUGACUUGUUCAGGGGUAUGAAGCUGCAGUAUAAAGUGCUCCAAGAUAUUCAGAGGCAGGUGUCAGGGACCCUAAUGACAGUCACCACCAGGCUUUCCCUGACCAGGAUGGUCCUGGGGGCUCCUGGAUUUGCUUCCAUAUCUGUGUGUCCUUCCCCAGAAGACUUCUAUAGGCAGAGAUGCAGUUUUGUGUUGUUGUACCUGCAUUUUCCUGAGAUUAAUGAUUGCACCUACAACUUUUAAAAAAAUCUAUUUCCAUAGGCAGAAACUGCAUCCUGAACUGGAGUUUAUCAACUGCAUCUACAGAUGUUUUCAUACAGAACCCACUUUGCCCCAGUGUGGGGCACAAGGGUAAGAGCAGGCCAGGUGGAUCAGGGCAGAGCUCUGGGGAAGAAUAGAGAACCCAGGGCCUCCAUGGCAUAAAUGCACUGCAGUUCUGUCACUCAUUUACCUGUUGAGGCACAUCCUGAUUCCUUAAUUUAUUUUGCCAUUCUGAAUAGAACUUCUGUGUAUAAUUGCAUGUUGUAUACACAUAUUUU
rnacentral:lncRNA from 1 species